AUUUUGGAGAGACAGUUUGAUCAGAUGACUAAGCCAGCUAGUCCAGCAAUCAAAGAACUUUCAGAACUUGUUAUACAAUGAAAAGUCAAAACUAAAUGGAGUAACCAUGAAUGUGUUGGAGAACUUCUCGAGUAACUCCAUGUCUCCACCAAUGAAUGCUAUCAUGGAUAACAAAUCAAAUCUCCUACGUGGAUACUUUCCGCCAAACGUCACCAGUAACCAAAAGGAGAAUAAUGCUUACUUUAGGACAAUGUGAUCUCAGUAUCAAUCAUCCCAAUGUUUUGACUUUGCAGUUUUCAUCCUGAACACAGAAAAACGUUUGACAGGAAAAGACUGGGGACCCCACCAGUGGCCUUGCAUAGGCUAGGGGUUUAAAAGAUGAAAUGGAAAUGCCCUCCCCCGAUAAUGAAAUUGAUGCUAUCCUAGAGCCUUCAUCCAGGGGCUGAUAUAAGCAGAGGCAGACACCCUCAGCUAAACACUGAACUGAACUCCUGGAAUCCAGUUGCAGAGAGGAAGGAGUGAAGAGCAAAGGGGUCAAGACCGAGCUACUGAAACCCACAGAAACUGCUGACUUGAACAAGGGGUGCUCAUGGACCCUAGACUGAUGGCUGGGAGACCAGUCUGGGACUGACCCAGAAUCCCUGAACAUGGGUGUAGGUUAGGAGGCCUCGGCGAUCUAUGGGGCCUCUGGCAGUGGAUCAGUAUUUAUCCCUGGAGUACAAAUGGACUUUGGCAGCCCAUUUCACGUGGAGGGAUGCUCUCUCAUCCUGGAUACAUGGGGGAAGCCCUAGGCCCUGCCCCAUACGGUAUGACAGACUUUAGGGAUCCCCCAUGGAGAGCCUCACUCUCCCUGGGGAGUGGAGAGAUGUCAUGGGGAAGGGGUUGGUGGGAGAUGGGGGAGAAGGGGAGGGAGAGGGAGCUGGGAUUGACAUGUGAAGCAGACUUGUUUCUAAUUUAAAUUUUAAAAAAGUGAUGAUUUUCCAUGUUUAAUGCACUUGGAUAUUCUAUUUUUGUAGAUAAUUCCAUUUGGUGAGAAUGGCUAUGCUUUAAAAUAGGUAACUUUAUUUGACAACCCAUGGCUUCUGGGAGGAGCAUUAAUCUCUGUGUUGGAAGUUAGAGUUAUAUUUUAUAGAUUAGUAAAUUGCUAUAUGGCUUUUCAAACAUCUCCAAUAUUUGUUAUCCUUCCCCAUCCCAUCCUCCUCCCUACCCUCACAACUUCCUCCAACAUAAACCUCCCUCCUUGUCAUUUCCCUAUUUUUAUAUAUUAAUUAGCUCAUAAAGUAGCAUGUUUCCACAUGGGAUUUCACUUGGUUGAUUUUCCUCUCUCAUUCUCCCUGUCCCUCCCUGUCACCAAUACUCCCCCUUCUACUUUAUUCUAUUACAGAAUCUCCAUAAGCCCUCUUUUUGUUAAUUCUCAUGACCCCUGUCUAGUUUCUUGGGCUUUGUCCGUGUUUACUUUCACUUGGAUGCACAUGUUUAACAGUUAAGGUCUAAGAAUUGUAUAUAAGAGAAAACAUAUGUCUUCCAAUGUUAU
rnacentral:lncRNA from 1 species